rnacentral:lncRNA from 1 species
GUGAUGUUAAAAAACCAUCGAAACCGACGUAACUGCCCAAACCAAGUUAAAUCAGCGAGCUCAGAUGGGUCAGGAGUAAUGUGGUCUGGCUUAUGGUUUAUGGUUUGUAACAGGGCGGGAUGAACAUAUCGCCAUAAUAUUAAAAAAAACAUGUUUUUCUACGUAUAUGAACUUAACAUUACCAUAUAUAUAGAUUAUUAGUUUAGCCGAAUACGUGCUCUUAAUUUUUUUCUUUUUUACUUUAUUCGUAAACCCUUUAAUUCUUAGACAUUUGGCUGGUCCGACAGUCCAGUCGACGCUGCCAACCCGACUGCUUUGGCUUAGUUUUUCCAAAAACCGUAGUUACCGGUUCCACCCAAAAACUCAUAAAAACCGGCUGAACCGGAGCGUAAAUAUCUCUUAUUUGAGUAUGUAGAGUUGACUCAAAAAGUCAAACAUAUGGGAUGAGACUAUAUCUUCCACACUUCGCUACUUCAAUUUAAAACUCUCAUAUUCGUUACGGUGACGUGUGUCCAUCAUACAAAGAGCAUUUAUACUAUCCCACUCUUGUGGUGGUUGUUGGGAAAGCAGUUUCAGUUGAGAUGUGUGGUGAGGUUUGAUUAAAAUUUGUACCCCCCACUCGAUCCGCUUUAAUGAUCACCGCCUCAUCCACGCUCUAAGAAGAUAACUUAUUGGGUGCGUCGAUUUCUGUUUGUGAGAAAUAUAGAGAUUUUGAGAGUAAAAUAGAGAGAAGUUGGUAAAAAAAAUGUUUAGGUCUAUCUGUACUGCCCAAAAUUUAGAAUAAUACCUCAACCGUCACGAGUAGCCGACGACAGGUGAAUCUAUUUUGCAACUUCUUUCUUGAAAUGACUCAUUUCAGGUUGAUUCCAUUUUGCCCUUACCAUUUUUGACCCAAAACAAAUUAUUUUUAAUCAAAACGCAAUCGUUUCGACCUGAAUGUAUUUUGUUACCCUAAAUCCUUACCCCUUUUUAGCAAACCAAACAAAUACUUUUUUUCGAAAUGAGCACCUUAAAUAGUUAAAUGUGUAUGCAGGUUUGGUUUGAAACUGAUCCAAACCUAUUAGACUAAAUCCCCCCAUGUGAUGGGCAAAACCUAUAUGGAGAUACAACUUUAACCAUAACUAAAGAUGCCAAAGCCAUUUUGGUAACAAUCUUCUUUAUUUUAUCCAACUAUACAUGCAUCAGACAAAAAAUAUGUGAUUAAAUUGAUUAAAAAAAUGAUUGCAAAAACAAAUUACUUUCAUUUGUGAACUCAAAAUAAUACUAUCACAGUAGUUGGUAGCCACCACAAAUAUAUACCAUUUGGGUCUAUUUUGUUCCUUUUUGUCUAUGCCAAGUCCAUUUUGCCCUUCAUCUGCUACUGAAUUCUCAGCGGAAGCAGUAGCAUCUUCAGUGAUUGCAAGACCCAUUGCUUAA